rnacentral:rRNA from 1 species
CCUGGGCGGCGUGCUAUACAUGCAGUCGUGCGAGAAAGUCCGGCUUCGGUUGGACGAGUAAAGCGGCGAACGGGUGAGUAACACGUGGGAAAUUUGCCUUCAUGUCUGGGAUAAGCCCUCGAAAGGGGGUCUAAUACCGGAUGAUAUCCCGGGGCGGCAUCGCUCUGGGAUCAAAGGCGGGGCAACCUGUCGCAGGAAGAUGAUCCCGCGCUCCAUUAGCUUGUUGGUGAGGUAACGGCUCACCAAGGCUCCGAUGGAUAGCCGACCUGAGAGGGUGACCGGCCACACUGGGACUGAGAUACGGCCCAGACUCCUACGGGAGGCAGCAGUAGGGAAUAUUGCGCAAUGGACGCAAGUCUGACGCAGCAACGCCGCGUGGGUGAUGAAGCUCCUUGGAGUGUAAAACCCUGUCAGUGGGGAAGAAACGUAUGGGUAGUAACUGACCUGUACCUGACGGUACCCACAGAGGAAGUCCCGGCUAACUCCGUGCCAGCAGCCGCGGUAAUACGGGGGGGACGAGCGUUGUUCGGAUUUACUGGGCGUAAAGGGCGCGUAGGCGGACCUUCAAGUCGGAUGUGAAACCUGUCGGCUUAACUGACAGCCUGCACCCGAUACUGUUGGCCUUGAGUACAGGAGAGGAGAGCGGAAUUCCUGGUGUAGCGGUGAAAUGCGUAGAUAUCAGGAAGAACACCGGUUGCGAAGGCGGCUCUCUGGACUGAUACUGACGCUUAAGCGCGAAGGCUUGGGGAGCAAACAGGAUUAGAUACCCUGGUAGUCCAAGCGGUAAACGAUGGGUACUAGGUGUCGGGGGUAUCGACCCCCCCGGUGCCGAAGCUAACGCAUUAAGUACCCCGCCUGGGGAGUACGGUCGCAAGAUUGAAACUCAAAGGAAUUGACGGGGGCCCGCACAAGCGGUGGAGUAUGUGGUUCAAUUCGAAGCAACGCGCAGAACCUUACCUGGGCUUGACAUGCUUGGGACCGCCGGUGAAAGCCGGUUUCCCCUUCGGGGGCCCUUGCACAGGUGCUGCAUGGCUGUCGUCAGCUCGUGUCGUGAGAUGUUGGGUUAAGUCCCGCAACGAGCGCAACCCUUGUCAUUAGUUGCUACAUUUAGUUGGGCACUCUAAUGAGACUGCCGGUGACAAACCGGAGGAAGGUGGGGAUGACGUCAAGUCCUCAUGGCCCUUAUGGGUAGGGCUUCACACGUAAUACAAUGGCGCGUACAGAGGGUUGCCAAGCCGCGAGGUGGAGCCAAUCCCAGAAAGCGCGUCGUAGUCCGGAUUGCAGUCUGCAACUCGACUGCAUGAAGUCGGAAUCGCUAGUAAUCGCGGAUCAGCAUGUCGCGGUGAAUACGUUCCCGGGUCUUGUACACACCGCCCGUCACACCAUGGGAGCGGGUUUCACCAGAAGCCGGUCGCCUAACCGCAAGGGGGGCGCCGACCACGUAGAUCGUG